rnacentral:rRNA from 1 species
CGUUCUGAAUCCUCACUAAUGAUGCUAAUCUCCUGGGAAAUUUGGACGGAGCGCAAUGCUAGAGUUUUUCGCAACACCGCCGCACCUACGACGGUCGUCAUUAGUAAGAUAAAAGAGGAGUUGUCGCUUUGGGCGUUGGCGGGCGCCAAGCAUUUGAGUGUUGUAUGCCGCGAGAUUAGAUUUUAUUUCUUGCCACUUCGUGGCCUGUCUAAACCUUCUCUUAAUCAAUGA